rnacentral:rRNA from 1 species
GUGGGGAAUAUUGGGCAAUGGGCGCAAGCCUGACCCAGCAACGCCGCGUGAAGGAAGAAGGCUUUCGGGUUGUAAACUUCUUUUACCAGGGACGAAACAAAUGACGGUACCUGGUGAAUAAGCCACGGCUAACUACGUGCCAGCAGCCGCGGUAAUACGUAGGUGGCGAGCGUUAUCCGGAUUUAUUGGGUGUAAAGGGCGUGUAGGCGGGACAGCAAGUCAGAUGUGAAAACCAGAGGCUCAACCUCUGGCCUGCAUUUGAAACUGUUGUUCUUGAGUGUCGGAGAGGUAAGCGGAAUUCCUGGUGUAGCGGUGAAAUGCGUAGAUAUCAGGAAGAACACCGGAGGCGAAGGCGGCUUACUGGACAAUAACUGACGUUGAGGCUCGAAAGCGUGGGAAGCAAACAGGAUUAGAAACCCGGGUAGUCC